rnacentral:rRNA from 1 species
AGCCCUUCGGGUCGGCGUACAGGUGCUGCAUGGCUGUCGUCAGCUCGUGCUGUGAAGUGUUGGUUAAGUCCCGCAACGAGCGCAACCCCUGCUAUCUGUUGCCAGCAAGUAAUGUUGGGGACUCAGAUGGAACUGCCGGUGACAAACCGGAGGAAGGUGGGGACGACGUCAAGUCAUCAUGGCCCUUAUGUCCUGGGCUACACACGUGCUACAAUGGCCGGUACAGAGCGCAGCGAAGCCGCGAGGCAAAGCGAAUCGCAAAAAGCCGGUCUCAGUACGGAUUGGAGUCUGAAACCCGACUCCAUGAAGUUGGAAUCGCUAGUAAUCGCGCAUCAGCAUGGCGCGGUGAAUACGUUCCCGGGCCUU